rnacentral:rRNA from 1 species
UACGGGAGGCAGCAGCUAAGAAUAUUCCGCAAUGGGGGGAACCCUGACGGAGCGACGCCGCGUGAACGAUGAAGGCAGAGAUGUUGUAAAGUUCUUUUAUCGCUGAAGAAUAACCGGAUCAGGGAAUGGGUCCGGGAUGACGUUAAGCGAUGAAUAAGCCACGGCUAACUACGUGCCAGCAGCCGCGGUAAU